rnacentral:rRNA from 1 species
UACGGGGGGGGCUAGCGUUGUUCGGAAUUACUGGGCGUAAAGGGCGCGUAGGCGGUCUGCUAAGUUGGAUGUGAAAACUCUGGGCUUAACCCAGAGCCUGCAUUCAAUACUGACAGGCUAGAGUUCUGGAGGGGAUAGCGGAAUUCCUGGUGUAGCGGUGAAAUGCGUAGAUAUCAGGAGGAACACCGGUGGCGAAGGCGGGUCUCUGGGCCGAUACUGACGCUGAGGAGCGAAAGCGUGGGGAGCGAACAGG